rnacentral:rRNA from 1 species
UACGUAGGGUGCAAGCGUUAAUCGGAAUUACUGGGCGUAAAGCGUGCGCAGGCGGUUUUGUAAGUCUGUCGUGAAAUCCCCGGUCUUAACCUGGGAAUGGCGAUGGAGACUGCAAGGCUAGAGUUUGGCAGAGGGGGGUAGAAUUCCACGUGUAGCAGUGAAAUGCGUAGAGAUGUGGAGGAACACCGAUGGCGAAGGCAGCCCCCUGGGUCAAAACUGACGCUCAUGCACGAAAGCGUGGGGAGCAAACAGG